CUUUCUUCUUUCAUCCAUCACAGUCAGGAUGGCUAAAGGUGAUCCCAAGAAACCAAAGGGCAAGAUGUCUGCUUAUGCCUUCUUUGUGCAGACAUGCAGAGAGGAACAUAAGAAGAAAAACCCAGAGGUCCCUGUCAAUUUUGCAGAAUUUUCCAAGAAGUGCUCUGAGAGGUGGAAGGCAAUGUCUGGGAAAGAGAAGUCUAAAUUUGAUGAAAUGGCAAAGGCAGAUAAAGUGCGCUAUGAUCGGGAAAUGAAGGAUUAUGGACCAGCUAAGGGAGGCAAGAAGAAGAAGGACCCUAAUGCUCCCAAAAGGCCACCGUCUGGAUUCUUCCUGUUCUGUUCAGAAUUCCGCCCCAAGAUCAAGUCUACCAACCCUGGUAUCUCCAUUGGAGAUGUGGCAAAGAAGCUGGGUGAGAUGUGGAAUAACUUAAGUGACAGUGAAAAGCAGCCUUACAACAACAAGGCGGCAAAGCUGAAGGAGAAGUAUGAGAAGGAUGUCGCCGACUAUAAGUCUAAAGGAAAGUUUGAUGGUGCCAAGGGUCCUGCAAAAGUUGCCCGGAAAAAGGUGGAAGAGGAAGAUGAAGAAGAUGAGGAGGAAGAAGAGGAGGAGGAGGAGGAGGAGGAGGAUGAAUAAAAAAAAAAAACUGUUCCUCUGUCUCCUUGUGAACACCUUAGAGUAGGGAGCGCCGUCACGGACGCCUCUCUUAUUGGAGACGCGUCUGUUGCCCUCGUUAGGUUUAAUCACACAAUUGGGUCAUGGUCAUAUCGUAGUCUCUUCAAAGUGCUCUAGAAAUUGUCAGUGGUUUACAUGAAGCGGCCGUGGGUGUCCGGAGCACCCUGAAACUGUAUCAAAGUUGUACAUAUUUCCAAACAUUUUUAAAAUGAAAAGGCUCUCGUGUUCUCCUCA